AUAAACAGGUUAAUGCUUUAUAAAAAGUUAGAAGCUUUUAAGAUAAUAUUUCUUU
rnacentral:tRNA from 1 species